rnacentral:rRNA from 1 species
GACGUAGGAGGCGAGCGUUGUCCGGAUUCAUUGGGCGUAAAGAGCGCGCAGGCGGCUUGGUAAGUCGGAUGUGAAAUCCCGAGGCUCAACCUCGGGUCUGCAUCCGAUACUGCCCGGCUAGAGGUAGGUAGGGGAGAUCGGAAUUCCUGGUGUAGCGGUGGAAUGCGCAGAUAUCAGGAGGAACACCGGUGGCGAAGGCGGGUCUCUGGGCAGUAACUGACGCUGGAGGAGCGAAAGCGUGGGGAGCAAACAGG